GAAAAGAAAAAACACAGAUGCUGCUUAUCAGGCCAGACAGGCAGCGAGAAACACGCCGAAGCGGAUUCCCAGCAUCACGAUGCAGUCACCCUCGGCUUGUAGCUCCCCGGGCCAGGAGUUCCCUCCAGGUGACCAGCUGGACUGCUUGGCUCUGGAUCUUCCGUCCAUAAAGAAUGCUUCAGGGACAUCCAGGUUGGUGUCAUUUUUUGAAACACCCGGAGCUUGUAACGAUGACAUCAGCCACGGGGCAGGUCCAGAUGAUCCAACUCAGAAGAAGCCUCUGGGCCCAAAGGCUAC